GUUCACAACCAAUGUUUAAUAUAAACUGCGAACGUAUUACUAUUAGAAAAAAAAACGUAUUACUUUGAUUCUAUUUAUCGCAUAAUAUGUUAACUUGAUCAUUACCCGAAACAUAAACCAAGUAUUCGUCGACGAAAGUAUUACUUUCAGAGAAGGAAAUACUACUGUGAUCAUAUUAAUUCAUAACGUGUAAAAUUAAUCAGUAGCUAAGACAUCUAUCAAGUGCUCGUCAACGAAACAAUUGGGUUCAAUUUUCAAAAUAGAAUUCAUCAAAUUAAACGAAAUUUUGAUCGAACAAUCAAAAUUUCGAGCUUUGUCUCUAUAUUAAAAUAUUCAUCAAACAGCCAACACGUACGAACUUUACUGUCGAUUAUCUUGAUAUACGUAAAAUGGAAAAUAAAUAUAACAAAGAUAUUUUAAAUCUUAAGCAACAAGAAAAAUAUCUCAUGUUUAAGUUUAAUACAGAAUAUGGUAAUUUAUCAACGGAGAUUUUAAGACUGAAUAAAGAAUGUAAGAAAAAACGAGAAGAGUUAAAAGUUCUUCAGCUGAAAGUUCUUGAGUUGAACGAAUCCUUAUAUGAAAGGAAAAAACUAUCAAAUACUCCAACUGAUGAUCAAAAUAAUGAAUCUUCAGAGGAAUCUGAUGGACAAUUUGAUCAAAAAGAUAAAAUAUUUGAUGAAAUUGAAGAAAUAUCUG